CAAUCCAGGAGAUCGCACAGGUCAAACAAUAUUUCCCCUGGCUGAAUCCAUGUUGACUACUCCGUUAACCAAAUGAGCAGCUGUUCCACCCCUUCACCAGGGAUUGAGGAUGCUGAACACCAUCAUCAAAUGCCACUGGGACCAAGACUGCCUUCAACCUUCACAAUCACGGCCUUCCCCAUGGCUGAUGGAUCAAGAUUGCAACCACCACCAACAGACAUGGAAAUUGCACCAAUCAAGUCUUGUCACUGGAUACCUGGGUGGCGAUGUCUUUCUGCUCUUAUCUUUUUACUUCUAAUUUUUUUUUGUUUUCCUUAUACAUUUUCUGAAGUAGGCUUUUAUAUUAUUAUAUGACUAUAAAUAAUAAUAACUAUAAUGGCUACAUACCUCCUUUCCAUUGCAACCAAAUUGUUCUAAAAUUACCCCUACAUAUGUACAUAUUUAUAAACACUGAUCAUUUACUGUUGUUUCCCUCUAAUCUGCUCCAAGGGAACUGUUUACAAUAACCUGAGUCACUCUGGCCUUCAGGUGCACUUCUGUAAUGGUCAGAAAGAGACAGAUAUAAAGAAACAUAGAUAUCAUCCUGUAAAAAGAAGACAUAGUUACCCACCACAUCUGUAAAAGCAGAAACCUUGCUGCUUGGAAACACACAGAUGAAUAAAAGA